UACGUAGGAGACGAGCGUUGUCCGGAAUUACUGGGCGUAAAGCGCGUGUAGGCGGAUGGGCAAGUCUGCUGUGAAAGCUCCUGGCUUAACCGGGAGUGGUCGGUGGAAACUGCCAAUCUGGAGGACGGUAGAGGUAGGUAGAAUUCCCGGUGUAGUGGUGAAAUGCGUAGAGAUCGGGAGGAAUACCGUGGUCGGAAGGCGGCUCUGGGCCGGACUGACGUGACUGAGGACGACGAGCGUGGGGAGCGAACAGGG
rnacentral:rRNA from 1 species